CAACCAGUGAAAGUCUGGUCUGAGGAAAGGUUAGCAACCACCUCAGUAGGGAACUCUGCAUAGUGGGAGGUAACGAACCUAUGAAGCCAGAGGGAACAAGGUACCGGGCUGCAACGCAA
rfam:Petrotoga mobilis SJ95, complete genome.